rnacentral:rRNA from 1 species
UCCGCCAGGGACUACGAGCACAGCUUAAACCCAAAGGACUUGGCGGUGCCUCAGACCCACCUAGAGGAGCCUGUUCUAGAACCGAUAACCCCCGUUAAACCUCACCACCUCUUGUUUCUCCCGCCUAUAUACCGCCGUCGUCAGCUUACCCUGUGAAGGCCCAACAGUAAGCUAAACGGGCCCAGCCCAAAACGUCAGGUCGAGGUGUAGCGUACGAGAUGGGAAGAAAUGGGCUACAUUUUCUAUCACAGAACACCACGAACAGCGCCCUGAAACAUGACGCCUGAAGGAGGAUUUAGUAGUAAAAGCAAA